GGAGAGGUGCCCCAGUGGUCAACGGGAGCGGACUGUAAAUCCGCCGACAGAAGUCUACGAAGGUUCGAAUCCUUCCCUCUCCACCA
rnacentral:tRNA from 1 species